GGAAUAUAAUUCCCAGCGCAACGCAAUUUCAAGAACCCCCAACAAUAUACGCAUUCUGUAUCGUCCGUUGCUCGUCGUGAGUAUCUCUCACCGUGUCGGUGUUUCCAAUGGCCUCCUCCUGUUCGAGGAAGCCCUCUAUUUGUCGGGUUUUCCUUGUGUUUCUGGUUCUUGCCUAUCGUUGCGAUGCAUUCUAUCUCCCCGGCAGCUACAUGAAUGUUUACUCCUCUGAGGAUCCCAUAUUUGCUAAGGUUAAUUCCUUGACUUCCAUUGAAACUGAGCUUCCUUUCAACUAUUAUACUCUUCCCUAUUGCAAGCCACCGGGUGGUGUCAAGAAAAGUGCAGAGAAUCUUGGGGAGUUGCUUAUGGGUGAUCAGAUCGACAACUCUCCAUAUCGUUUUCGCAUGAAUGUAAAUGAAACAGUCUACCUUUGUACCACUGAGCCUUUGAGUGAGGUUCAAGUGAAGCUUUUGAAACAGAGAACUCGUGAUCUCUAUCAGGUAAACAUGAUACUGGAUAAUUUACCUGCCAUGAGAUUUACCGAACAAAAUGGGAUUAAAAUCCAGUGGACUGGGUUUCCAGUUGGGUACACGCCAUCAAACAGUGAGGAUGAUUAUAUCAUUAACCACCUAAAGUUCACCGUCUUGGUUCAUGAGUACGAGGGGACUGGUGCGGAAAUAAUUGGUACUGGGGAAGAAGGUAUGGGUGUGAUUUCACAAGCUGAACAGAAGAAGGCUUCUGGAUACGAAAUUGUUGGAUUUCAGGUUACACCUUGUAGUGUUAAAUAUGAUCCUGAAACGAUGAAAAAGUAUGAUAUGCUACAGAAUAUCACGCAUGUAGACUGUCCAAAAGAACUUGAGAAGUCCCAGAUCAUCAGGGAGAAAGAGGAAGUGUCAUUCACUUAUGAGGUGCAGUUUGUCAAAAGUGAUAUAAGGUGGCCAUCAAGAUGGGAUGCUUAUUUGAGGAUGGAGGGUUCCAAAGUACACUGGUUCUCAAUUCUAAAUUCACUAAUGGUAAUCUUCUUCUUAGCGGGUAUAGUUUUCGUUAUAUUCUUAAGGACUGUGAGAAGAGACUUGACAAGGUAUGAGGAAUUGGACAAAGAAUCUCAAGCGCAAAUGAACGAAGAGCUCUCAGGAUGGAAACUUGUAGUUGGAGAUGUGUUCAGAGAACCUGAAUGUUCGAAGCUUCUCUGCGUGAUGGUUGGUGAUGGGGUUCAAAUCUUGGGGAUGGCAGUUGUCACUGUUGUUUGUACAGCAUUUGGCUUCAUGUCACCAGCUUCUAGAGGAAUGCUACUGACAGGGAUGAUUAUUCUUUACCUUUUCCUUGGAAUUAUUGCAGGUUAUGUUGGUGUACGCGCAUGGAGAACCAUUAAGGGAACGUCAGAAGGGUGGAGAUCAGUUUCCUGGUCAGUUGCUUGCUUCUUUCCUGGGAUCGUCUUCGUCAUUCUUACGGUACUGAACUUCAUUCUUUGGAGCAGCAAGAGUAGUGGUGCCAUUCCCAUCUCAUUAUAUUUUGAACUCCUAGCUCUCUGGUUUUGCAUAUCUGUGCCACUGACCCUGCUGGGAGGGUUCUUUGCCACACGAGCUGCAGAAAUUCAGUUUCCCGUGAGAACCAACCAGAUUCCGAGGGAAAUUCCUUCACGGAAGUACCCAUCUUGGCUUCUCAUUCUUGGAGCUGGGACCCUUCCCUUCGGAACCCUUUUCAUCGAACUCUUCUUUAUCCUUUCUAGCAUCUGGCUUGGAAGGUUCUAUUACGUUUUCGGUUUUCUACUGAUAGUUUUAUCUCUUCUGGUUAUUGUGUGUGCUGAAGUAUCAGUCGUCCUUACCUACAUGCAUCUCUGUGUGGAGGAUUGGCGAUGGUGGUGGAAGGCGUUCUUUGCUUCUGGUUCAGUUGCUCUUUACGUGUUCCUAUAUUCCAUCCACUACUUGGUCUUUGAGCUGCAGAGUUUGAGCGGCCCGGUGUCUGCUAUUCUUUAUCUUGGUUAUUCAUUGAUCAUGGCAACGGCAAUUAUGUUAUCAACUGGCACCAUCGGCUUCCUGACGUCUUUCUACUUUGUUCACUACCUAUUUUCUUCGGUAAAGAUAGAUUAGAAAUGGCCUGCCCUUGCUCGCCUGGCCAGUGGACGAUUACGGUAACAUUUCAGCUCUUGGCGAACCGUCUAAUACUUUCUUUUUCCCUUCAGCCUAGCAAGUUUCUUAGGCUUUUUUUUUUUGUCUUUGGAGCCAUUACAUUAUAUGAAGUGAAGUGAGAUGAUGGGAUAGUUAUUUCUAGUUUUAUGAAUCCCAACCUAUGUUUAGAAUGCAAAGAUCUGCCCUCCACCAAUACCAAAUCCAAAAAAAUGGGAUGUUCUUGGGUUUUUAAUGCUAUUGAUCUAUUUUUGAUGGAGUGCUUCUAUCCAACCAAAUUGUUAGUAGAAACUUGAAAGUUGUUACCAUUGUUUUACCUUUUCCAUUCUUGUAUACCAUUUCAUUGUAUUUGCUUUCUCCUUUGAUAUUUUUGACAUUAUUGAUUUCUUAUCUAUACGUGCAAGUCGUUAAGUUC